rnacentral:rRNA from 1 species
UACAGAGGGGGCAAGCGUUGUUCGGAAUUACUGGGCGUAAAGGGCGCGUAGGCGGCCCGCUAAGUCGAACGUGAAAUCCCCGAGCUCAACUCGGGAACUGCGUCCGAUACUGGCGGGCUUGAAUCCGGGAGAGGGAUGCGGAAUUCCAGGUGUAACGGUGAAAUGCGUAGAUAUCUGGAGGAACACCGGUGGCGAAGGCGGCAUCCUGGACCGGCAUUGACGCUGAGGCGCGAAAGCUAGGGGAGCAAACGGG